rnacentral:rRNA from 1 species
CCUACGGGAGGCUGCAGUGAGGAAUAUUGGUCAAUGGCCGAAAGGCUGAACCAGCCAAGUCGCGUGAGGGAAGAAUGUCCUCUGGAUGGUAAGCCUCUUUUGUCAGGGAGCAAAGUCAACCGCGUUUGGGUGUUGGAGAGUACCUGAAGAACAAGCAUCGGCUAACUCCGUGCCAGCCGCCGAGGUAAUGCGGAGGAUGGGAACGUUAUCCGGAUUUAUUGGGUUUAACGGGUGCGUAGGCGGGUUAUCAAGUCAGUGUGAAACUCGUGGAGCUCAACUCCAUCCAGCCGUUGAAACUGAUGAUCUUGAGUGGGCGAGAAGUAUGCGGAAUGCGGGGUGUAGCGGUGAAAUGCAUAGAUAUCACGCAGAACUCCGAUUGCGAAGGCAGCAUACCGGCGCCCGACUGACGCUGAAGCACGAAAGCGUGGGUAGCGAACAGGAUUAGAUACCCUUGUAGUC